rnacentral:misc_RNA from 1 species
AAGAAAUUCACAUACAGCACAAAAAAUUGCUACGCUUGAUUGACUUGCACAUUUUAUCAUUCAAAAAUGAAACUUAUCUGAUCGCACAACAGAAAAUUGCUAUUGCUGUUGUAUUUUAAAUGUGUCAUCAUGAAUCAAUAGAUAAGAGCAAAAUUGACACAUGAAGUAGGCAAAGCUUCAAAUUUAUAUGGUACAGACAAUAUAUAAGCAACUCCAUAAAGAGAGAAAACCUGAAUCUGCAAUUAAAAAUAAUUCAAGUUGUUGAAAGAUUCAAUGUAAUCUCAAUCUUAGAGAGGCUGUACUAAAGUGGAUAAAGUCUAAAAAUUAAAAGCACAAGCAAAAACCAAUGAAAGCAAUCAAGGGAAAUAAUUGUAAGAUUUAAAAAAGGCUCUUUGAGUGGUGUUUCACAAUUAAAAGAGCUACAUUCUGCUAAAAGUUUAAUUUAAGCUUCUCCUUAGUACUCCACAAAACUGUCCCAAAGAGUUGAAGAAGCAGACAACAUCACACCAAGAAAACUAGCAGAUCGGACACAAACCACAAUAGACACAUAUGAGCUUCAAUGGGGAUGGAUUAAUUGCUCUUUCUCCCAGUAAAUUAUGGAAAUUUGACUAAAAAAAAAGAUUCACAUUGCUAAACUAGUACAAACAGAUUCAGUUUUUCACAACAUAUAGAUGAACAGAAAAUUUUAUUUUUUUAUUAAAUAAAAGAAAAUAAAAAGAUCAGUAACAGUAGGCAGUGGCAGCACAUUAAUUCAAAGAGGAAAAUUAUCAUGCCUUUGACAUGGAGCACCGGAGAA